rnacentral:rRNA from 1 species
UACGGAGGAUGCGAGCGUUAUCCGGAUUUAUUGGGUUUAAAGGGUGCGUAGGCGGCUUAGUAAGUCAGCGGUGAAAUUUUGCAGCUUAACUGUAACAGUGCCGUUGAUACUGCAUGGCCAGGAUUUGGUUGCUGUGGGUGGAAUGUGUGGUGUAGCGGUGAAAUGCUUAGAUAUCACACAGAAUAUCAAUUGCGAAGGCAGCUCACAAAGCCAAGAUUGACGCUGAGGCACGAAAGUGUGGGGAUCAAA